UACUAGAGUAGCACUCGCAUAUCAAUAAGCGGAGGAAAAGAAACUAACAAGGAUUCCCCUAGUAACGGCGAGUGAAGCGGGAAGAGCUCAAAUUUGAAAUCUUAAAGGGUUUCCCUUUACGAAUUGUAGUUUAAAGAAGUGUUUUCUGUUGAGGUUCUGGUAAGAGUUCUUUGGAAUAGGACAUCAUAGAGGGUGAGAAUCCCGUAUUUGACCUUUACUUUCAACUUUGUGAUACACUUUCAAAGAGUCGGAUUGUUUGGGAAUGCAGUCCAAAAUGGGUGGUAAAUUUCAUCUAAAGCUAAAUAUUGGCGAGAGACCGAUAGCGAACAAGUACCGUGAGGGAAAGAUGAAAAGAACUUUGAAUAGAGAGUUAAACAGUACGUGAAAUUGUCAAAAGGGAAGCGUUUGACACCAGUGUUGUUUUUCUGAAAAUCAAUUAAAGAACUGUUUAUGCUAAGUUGUUUAGACUUUAUCAGCUAACUGUUUAGUUUUGAGCUUUUCUUUAAUGCACUUUUCAGUUAACAAGUCAACAUCAAUUUCUUUUGCUGUAAAAAAGCUUGAGGAAGGUGGCUUGAGAUUCGUCUUAAGUGUUUAUAGCCUCUUGCCUAUGCAGUCGGAGAGAUUGAGGUCUGCAGCGUAGAUCCUUCGGGGCUAAAUGCAUUUGUGCUAAGUUAUAGCAUUUCAUAGACAACUUGUUGACUAUGAUUUGUCUUGUAGCUUACUCGCUUAUGUUAUUUUACCUACGCUUAGGAUGUUGAUAUCGCGCUCUCACUG
rnacentral:rRNA from 1 species